GAUGAACGCUGGCGGCGUGCUUAACACAUGCAAGUCGAACGAAGCACUUUAUUUGAUUUUUUCGGAAUGAAGAUUUUGUGACUGAGUGGCGGACGGGUGAGUAACGCGUGGGUAACCUGCCUUGUACAGGGGGAUAACAGUUGGAAACGGCUGCUAAUACCGCAUAAGCGCACAGCAUCGCAUGAUGCAGUGUGAAAAACUCCGGUGGUAUAAGAUGGACCCGCGUUGGAUUAGCUAGUUGGUGAGGUAACGGCCCACCAAGGCGACGAUCCAUAGCCGACCUGAGAGGGUGACCGGCCACAUUGGGACUGAGACACGGCCCAAACUCCUACGGGAGGCAGCAGUGGGGAAUAUUGCACAAUGGGCGAAAGCCUGAUGCAGCGACGCCGCGUGAGCGAAGAAGUAUUUCGGUAUGUAAAGCUCUAUCAGCAGGGAAGAUAAUGACG
rnacentral:rRNA from 1 species